AGGAGUACCAUCCCUAGGAAAUUAACUUAGGGCUAUAUAAACGUGCGGAGGAAUACCCGUACUGAGCUGUCACCAUCAGCGGCCCACCUCGCUUCCGCAACAUAUAACCCCAAAUAAUGAUAUCCAGCAAUCUAAAUAUCAUGCUUAAAUUAGCAAAUACUACUCUAAUAUCAUCGUCAUGACAUAGUCAUCGUAAAUACGAUCAUUAUACCCACACCAUUGCAUCUCCCAGAUAAGCUAGCAUCAUAAUGAAUAUAACUUGGAUAUAUAAUAAAGUUGGUAUUCAUAUACUUGGAAAGUAGUACAAUACCAAAGUAGUAUAAAGAAGAAUAUUCUAAAUAAACUACAAGUCUUACAGAAGAAGGAAAAGCUACUAGAGCCAUACCCGAAUUCUUCCGAAGACUCCGAGGACUGAAGAUUCUAUUCUAUUUAUAUUCCACUAUACUCUAAAGACUAUACUAAACUUGAGAGAUGAAUGAAAGAUGAAUGAAACUUCUUGCUUAAGGUGUGUGGAAGAAGUGAGGAGGUGAAGGCCUUUUAUAGCUCUCCAAUGACGGUUAUGACGGUUGGAAUGGUCAGAAUUGCUCUCCCACCGUCAUUGGGGAGUAAUCUAAGUCGUCCAGAAGAAGCCCUGCAUCCAACAGCGCCACAGCAGGUUCGGCCGAACCAUGGGCUGGGCCGGCCUGGCCCAAAUUCGGCAGGUGUCCUCUUUUGCUCCUCUCUGCAGACUUGUGAAUUUUGGCCCAAUUGGUCGUGUCAUUUCUGAGUUCUUGGCCCCUAGAUAAAUCUGAUUCUCGACAUCAUCUGAUUGAUUGAUCGUCUAUUUUGAUGUCGAUUCUCCUCCAUUUUAUGUUCAUUCUCUACAAGAGUAUUAACGGGCGAAACUGAUCGCUAACGACCGUCAACAACGGGCGAGCGCCGAGAUCGGGGAAUCAAAACCUCUCCCCGGCCGCUGCUCGAGGGUGAGUGCACCACCGUCGAGUGGCCGUGGACUUCCCACACGGAGUCGACAACGACCGGUGGUGGUGUGCACGCACCGACGAGGGGGUGUGGACUUCCCACACAGUGUCGGCGACGACCGGCGGUGGCAGAGGUUUGUAGUCUCUGUCAUCGAGCCCAUGGUCCCUUGCAUCGCUCAUCCAUCGGAAAAGCAAAAAGGAAAAUGCGUCGGUCGCUUGAGCAUCGCGCUCGUCCUCCCGCCGGCGUCGCGUGUGGAUCGGGAGUCCUCCCAACGACGGUGAACACUCCAGCCCCUCUCUGUGCGUUCAUCUAUUUGUGUUGUGUAGUAUCAGGAACCAAUAAUUUGAAUCUGUCAGUUAUCGGGCUCAGUGUUGUCUUAGUUUAUCUGCUCUUGAGCCAGGAGAUAAACCAUUAAUCUUUCAGGUGAUUUUUUUCUCUCUGGGUCAGUGUUGUCUCAAGUUUUUUUUUUUUAAUGAUCAUUCUCUAGCAAAGUCUGACCGGUAAGUCCUCAAAAUUCACUUCCAAACCGUGUACAGUGGAGUACUGUCAAUUUCAGACACCAAACAGUAGCUCAAACACUUUGGUACACAACUACUGGUUCAGGGUAUUUGGUUUUGAGGGGAGGUUUAGCGUCGGUGGUGUUGGGUGCGAACGGGGGAGCGGCGCGUUCGUGUUUGGGCAAUGAUGUCGAACGACUAAGAGAAGAGCUGCUAGGUUUAGUCAUUGAUAAGUGACUCUUAUAUCCCUCACGGGAUAAAAAUGUUUCUCCACGUUUCUACUUCCGCAAGCUGUGGUGGUAGUAGAAAUAAAUCUGAACCUUUCGAUUAAAUGAUAUCAACGAUUCAGAUUGCUUUCUACUAUAUAAGUAAAGAGUACUACGAUCUCUUUGAUUUUAGAAGAAGGUAUAACCGCCAUAAACUCACUAGAUUAACUUGCCGUUAAUGGGAACUGUUAUUUAGCAAAUGGGUGACCCUUAAUAUAAAAAUAGUAAUGCCAGAGAUAUUUGAGAGAUAAUUAAGACUCAUUUAAUACAAUCUUCAUUUGUAAAAAGAGUAAGUAAAGGAGU